UACGGAGGGGGCUAGCGUUGUUCGGAAUUACUGGGCGUAAAGCGCGCGCAGGCGGUCUUUUAAGUCUGAUGUGAAAGCCCCCGGCUCAACCGGGGAGGGUCAUUGGAAACUGGAGGACUUGAGUGCAGAAGAGAAGAGCGGAAUUCCACGUGUAGCGGUGAAAUGCGUAGAUAUCCGGAGGAACACCGGUGGCGAAGGCGGCUUCCUGGACCGACACUGACGCUGAGGCGCGAAAGCUAGGGGAGCAAACGGG
rnacentral:rRNA from 1 species